rnacentral:rRNA from 1 species
UACGUAGGGCGCAAGCGUUGUCCGGAAUUAUUGGGCGUAAAGGGUGCGUAGGCGGUUUGACAAGUCUGAUGUGAAAUCUAUGGGCUCAACCCAUAGCCUGCAUUAGAAACUGUCGGGCUUGAGUAUGGGAGAGGUGAGUGGAAUUUCCGGUGUAGCGGUGAAAUGCGUAGAUAUCGGAAGGAACACCUGUGGCGAAAGCGGCUCACUGGACCAUUACUGACGCUGAUGCACGAAAGCUAGGGGAGCAAACAGG